CAAUUUCAUUCCCACCUGAUGACCGCAUGAGUCACCGUGUGUUGGAUGUUAACCUGAUUUAGAACGCGGUCUCUGACCAGUGAAGUUCAACGACGCGUUUCUAAAUAACAGGACGAAGUACGAUCACAAUUAUGCAUAUCACGAACAAAAAAUUCUGAACCUCAAAACUCUACGAAGAGGACAAGGAUGACUGAAACGGGACCAGCUAGCCAUAACGGAUAUGAAAAGAAGCGGCUCGUCCAAGAAAUCUAUUAAAUGAAGAGAUUGUUAACAAAACUGAAUAUACAUUGCCGUUGGAAACAGGACGUCGAGACUGAUCGAGACAUCUUAAAACGGAAACUGAAGAACAUCGCUUGCUACUUGGUAGCUAUGUUUUGGUAUCAAGGGAACGGUCAUUAACAUCAGUGAAAUCCAUAUGCAAGCGAAAAAUACAGAGGGUAGUACAUAUAAGUAAAGGUCAGUUCCAGCUUAAUUCACAUAGAUUGACACAAUAUUUAUACCCGGCGAGCGAAAGAAUUGCUCGAAUUUUCCUGUUUUAGGUGUUCACACGGUAAAUGUGCACUCAGUUCAAUUUUUCAACUGUUUCCAAUUUAAACGUAAAGGGUCACAUGUCAUACUGACAUUAAAUGUUAAUAGAAUAGAUUCAUUAAAUAGAUAAAAAAAACAUUUUGACGAAUACACAAUCAUGAUAAAAGUCAUGAUAAAACUCAAAUCCUAUCGAAUAUAUUUUGAUUUAAAUCCGUACAACAGUUUCAAAGAUAUUUGAUAAUGA